rnacentral:rRNA from 1 species
UUAAGCGACUAAGCGUACACGGUGGAUGCCCUGGCAGUCAGAGGCGAUGAAGGACGUGCUAAUCUGCGAAAAGCGUCGGUAAGGUGAUAUGAACCGUUACAGCCGGCGAUGUCCGAAUGGGGAAACCCAGUGUGAUUCGUCACACUAUCGUUAACUGAAUACAUAGGUUAACGAGGCGAACCGGGGGAACUGAAACAUCUAAGUACCCCGAGGAAAAGAAAUCAACCGAGAUUCCCCCAGUAGCGGCGAGCGAACGGGGAGCAGCCCAGAGUCUGAAUCAGCUUGUGUGUUAGUGGAACGGUCUGGAAAGUCCGACGGUACAGGGUGAUAGUCCCGUACACCAAAAUGCACAGGCUGUGAACUCGAAGAGUAGGGCGGGACACGUGGUAUCCUGUCUGAAUAUGGGGGGACCAUCCUCCAAGGCUAAAUACUCCUGACUGACCGAUAGUGAACCAGUACCGUGAGGGAAAGGCGAAAAGAACCCCGGCGAGGGGAGUGAAAAAGAACCUGAAACCGUGUACGUACAAGCAGUGGGAGCACCUUCGGGUGUGACUGCGUACCUUUUGUAUAAUGGGUCAGCGACUUAUAUUCUGUAGCAAGGUUAACCGUAUAGGGGAGCCGCAGGGAAACCGAGUCUUAACUGGGCGUUAAGUUGCAGGGUAUAGACCCGAAACCCGGUGAUCUAGCCAUGGGCAGGUUGAAGGUUGGGUAACACUAACUGGAGGACCGAACCGACUAAUGUUGAAAAAUUAGCGGAUGACUUGUGGCUGGGGGUGAAAGGCCAAUCAAACCGGGAGAUAGCUGGUUCUCCCCGAAAGCUAUUUAGGUAGCGCCUCGUGAACUCAUCUUCGGGGGUAGAGCACUGUUUCGGCUAGGGGGUCAUCCCGACUUACCAACCCGAUGCAAACUACGAAUACCGAAGAAUGUUAUCACGGGAGACACACGGCGGGUGCUAACGUCCGUCGUGAAGAGGGAAACAACCCAGACCGCCAGCUAAGGUCCCAAAGUCAUGGUUAAGUGGGAAACGAUGUGGGAAGGCACAGACAGCCAGGAUGUUGGCUUAGAAGCAGCCAUCAUUUAAAGAAAGCGUAAUAGCUCACUGGUCGAGUCGGCCUGCGCGGAAGAUGUAACGGGGCUAAACCAUGCACCGAAGCUGCGGCAGCGACACUAUGUGUUGUUGGGUAGGGGAGCGUUCUGUAAGCCUGCGAAGGUGACCUGUGAGGGUUGCUGGAGGUAUCAGAAGUGCGAAUGCUGACAUAAGUAACGAUAAAGCGGGUGAAAAGCCCGCUCGCCGGAAGACCAAGGGUUCCUGUCCAACGUUAAUCGGGGCAGGGUGAGUCGACCCCUAAGGCGAGGCCGAAAGGCGUAGUCGAUGGGAAACAGGUUAAUAUUCCUGUACUUGGUGUUACUGCGAAGGGGGGACGGAGAAGGCUAUGUUAGCCGGGCGACGGUUGUCCCGGUUUAAGCAUGUAGGCUGGUUGUCCAGGCAAAUCCGGAUAAUCAAGGCUGAGGUGUGAUGACGAGGCACUACGGUGCUGAAGUAACAAAUGCCCUGCUUCCAGGAAAAGCCUCUAAGCAUCAGGUAACAUCAAAUCGUACCCCAAACCGACACAGGUGGUCAGGUAGAGAAUACCAAGGCGCUUGAGAGAACUCGGGUGAAGGAACUAGGCAAAAUGGUGCCGUAACUUCGGGAGAAGGCACGCUGGUGUGUAGGUGAAGUCCCUGCGGAUGGAGCUGAGACCAGUCGAAGAUACCAGCUGGCUGCAACUGUUUAUUAAAAACACAGCACUGUGCAAACACGAAAGUGGACGUAUACGGUGUGACGCCUGCCCGGUGCCGGAAGGUUAAUUGAUGGGGUUAUCCGUAAGGAGAAGCUCUUGAUCGAAGCCCCGGUAAACGGCGGCCGUAACUAUAACGGUCCUAAGGUAGCGAAAUUCCUUGUCGGGUAAGUUCCGACCUGCACGAAUGGCGUAAUGAUGGCCAGGCUGUCUCCACCCGAGACUCAGUGAAAUUGAACUCGCUGUGAAGAUGCAGUGUACCCGCGGCAAGACGGAAAGACCCCGUGAACCUUUACUAUAGCUUGACACUGAACAUUGAGCCUUGAUGUGUAGGAUAGGUGGGAGGCUUUGAAGCGUGGACGCCAGUCUGCGUGGAGCCAACCUUGAAAUACCACCCUUUAAUGUUUGAUGUUCUAACGUUGGCCCCUUACCGGGGUUGCGGACAGUGUCUGGUGGGUAGUUUGACUGGGGCGGUCUCCUCCCAAAGCGUAACGGAGGAGCACGAAGGUUAGCUAAUCCUGGUCGGACAUCAGGAGGUUAGUGCAAUGGCAUAAGCUAGCUUGACUGCGAGCGUGACGGCGCGAGCAGGUGCGAAAGCAGGUCAUAGUGAUCCGGUGGUUCUGAAUGGAAGGGCCAUCGCUCAACGGAUAAAAGGUACUCCGGGGAUAACAGGCUGAUACCGCCCAAGAGUUCAUAUCGACGGCGGUGUUUGGCACCUCGAUGUCGGCUCAUCACAUCCUGGGGCUGAAGUAGGUCCCAAGGGUAUGGCUGUUCGCCAUUUAAAGUGGUACGCGAGCUGGGUUUAGAACGUCGUGAGACAGUUCGGUCCCUAUCUGCCGUGGGCGCUGGAGAAUUGAGGGGGGCUGCUCCUAGUACGAGAGGACCGGAGUGGACGCAUCACUGGUGUUCGGGUUGUCAUGCCAAUGGCACUGCCCGGUAGCUAAAUGCGGAAGAGAUAAGUGCUGAAAGCAUCUAAGCACGAAACUUGCCCCGAGAUGAGUUCUCCCUGAGACUUUAAGUCUCCUGAAGGAACGUUGAAGACGACGACGUUGAUAGGCCGGGUGUGUAAGCGCAGCGAUGCGUUGAGCUAACCGGUACUAAUGAACCGUGAGGCUUAACCU